AAGAGUAUUCUUCUUGGCUUGCAGGUCGCCGCUGGAGCCGGACAAGAUCAUGGCUUGCCUUACCUGGUGACAUACUGGCUAGGAAGAGUGCAAGCUGCGGCCCACACGUACCAGAUGGUGUCGUCAAGGAUGUUGUCGUACUGACUGCCGAUGAUCUACAGACAAGCUGAAUGCAGUUGCCGCCACUCAUGUCGCUACAGGAGGAGUGCGCGCAGGGGGAGUGGCGGGUCAAGGUGCUCUCAUCGGCGCCGCUGCUGACCGGCAGAUCCAGGCGCACCCUCUCGGUGCGCGCAGGGGGGUGACAGGCCAAGGUGCGCUCGCCGACGCCACCCACUGACUGGCGGAUCCAGGUGCGCCCACUCUGUGCGUGCAGGGGGGUUGACAGGCCAAGGUGCGCUCGCCGGCGCCACCCACUGACUGGAGAAUCCAGGAGCACCCACUAUGACAACCUCCCGGGCAUGACAUCGCUGGAGAAGGUGAUGGGGGAGCCGCCAACUUGGGCCUGCUGAAGAACGACGACUUUGCAGGAGGGGAUGGAGUCGGGGAAGCUCCUGUGACGGUGGGAGCGGCGGUUCCACAACGAGAUGGUCGUUCGUCACCUCUGAGUUGGAGGAUGGCCAAGGCCAAGAUUGUUUUUCACCACCGAGCUGCGGGGAGGUGCAAAGCAGUAGCAGGACGAACCUUCGCCAUAGCCGGCAGGCUGAGUUUGUACUUGGUAUUAAAGGAUUUGGAGUAGGCUACAUUUGUGAUGACGGGAUUGGUUAUGCAUGAUCUAUUGGCUAAAUCCUUUUGUUUUAUCAUGAGGACAACAAUAGUGGUUACUUCUCAUCCGAGCUUGAGUUGUGGUGAAUUCAACCGAUGUUUCGACCGCAUACGAGAUGUCGUUCUUUUGGUUUAUCAACUAAUAUUAUCAUAUAUGGACGUGAUGCCUGUACAGAGGCGUUUUGAAUCAGUGUGGUAGUAGACUACCUAUCAUUGUUGUAAAUUAUGUGUGAUAACCGUUA